UGCCAGCCGCCGCGGUAAUACGGAGGGUGCGAGCGUUGUUCGGAAUUAUUGGGCGUAAAGCGGGUGCAGGCGGUGAAGUAAGUCAGAUGUGAAAUCCCAAGGCCCAACCUUGGAAUUGCAUCCGAUACUGCUUCACUAGAGUCUCGGAGAGGAAAGCGGAAUUCCCGGUGUAGAGGUGAAAUUCGUAGAUAUCGGGAGGAACACCAGUGGCGAAGGCGGCUUUCUGGACGAUGACUGACGCUCAGACCCGAAAGCGUGGGGAGCAAACAGGAUUAGAUA
rnacentral:rRNA from 1 species